rfam:Capsicum annuum cultivar Zunla-1 chromosome 5, whole genome shotgun sequence
UAUUGAUGAUGUGGAUAGUACCUAAGAGGAGCUUUGAAUCUCUCCCAAGCAUGAUAUAAGUUCUUAUCCACCUACUGUUUAAAGCUCACAAUAUUACUGUGCAGUUU